CCCUUAGAUGUUCGGGGCCGCACGCGCGCUACACUGAAGGAAUCAGCGCGUCUUUCUCCUUGUCCGAAAGGACUGGGUAACCCGCUGAACCUCCUUCGUGCUAGGGAUUGGGGCUUGUAAUUCUUCCCCAUGAACGAGGAAUUCCCAGUAAGCGCGAGUCAUAAGCUCGCGUUGAUUACGUCCCUGCCCUUUGUACACACCGCCCGUCGCUACUACCGAUUGGAUGGUUUAGUGAGAUCCUCGGAUUGGUCCCGGCGCGGCCUCUGGUCGUGCCGGAGUGCCGAAAAGAAUGUCGAACUUGAUCAUCUAGAGGAAGUAAAAGGCGUAACA
rnacentral:rRNA from 1 species